UGUCUUGUAAUUGGAAUGAUGGGAAUUUAAACCUCUUCCAGAGUAUCAAUUGGAGGGCAAGUCUGGUGCCAGCAGCCGCGGUAAUUCCAGCUCCAAUAGCGUAUAUUAAAAUUGUUGCAGUUAAAAAGCUCGUAGUUGAAUUUCUGCUGCAUUGCUUUUGCUCCUUUACGAGUCUUUGCAUUGUGGCUUAUUUCGGACUUUGUUUUACAAUGUCCGGAUGUUUACUUUGAGAAAAUUAGAGUGCUCAAAGCAGGCUUUCGCCUUGAAUAGUUUAGCAUGGAAUAAUAAAGUAGGACUUUGGUUCUAUUUUGUUGGUUUUAGGUACCAAAGUAAUGGUUAAUAGGAACAGUUGGGGGCAUUCGUAUUUAACUGUCAGAGGUGAAAUUCUUAGAUUUGUUAAAGACGAACUACUGCGAAAGCAUUUGCCAAGGAUGUUUUCAUUAAUCAAGAACGAAAGUUAGGGGAUCGAAGACGAUCAGAUACCGUCGUAGUCCUACCAUAAACUA
rnacentral:rRNA from 1 species